rnacentral:sRNA from 1 species
GCCACCCGUUAGCCGAGCAGCUCCCCAGCCUGAGAAACUGCAGAAGAACAAUAUCACCAAAAAAAAGAAACUGGUUGAGGAGCUGGCUCUAGACCACGUGUUUGGCUACAGAGGUUUCGACUGUCGAAAUAACCUGCAUUACCUUAAUGAUGGCGCCGACAUCAUCUUCCACACAGCGGCGGCUGGCAUUGUUCAGAACCUCUCCACAGGGAGCCAGAGCUUCUAUCUGGAGCACACGGAUGACAUCCUCUGUCUCACAGUGAACCAGCACCCCAAGUACAGAAACGUGGUGGCCACCAGCCAGAUAGGGACAACACCUUCCAUCCACAUAUGGGACGCCAUGACCAAACACACCCUCUCCAUGCUGCGGUGCUUCCACUCCAAGGGGGUGAAUUACGUCAACUUCAGUGCAACUGGAAAGCUCCUGGUGUCGGUGGGAGUGGACCCUGAGCACACCAUCACUGUCUGGCGAUGGCAGGAAGGUGCCAAGGUUGCCAGCCGAGGGGGUCACCUGGAGCGCAUAUUUGUGGUGGAAUUUCGCCCCGACUCAGACACGCAGUUUGUAUCUGUCGGGGUCAAACAUAUGAAGUUCUGGACCCUGGCAGGCAGCGCCUUGCUUUACAAGAAAGGGGUCAUCGGGUCCCUGGGAGCUGCCAAAAUGCAGACGAUGCUCUCCGUGGCCUUCGGUGCUAACAACCUCACUUUCACGGGUGCCAUCAAUGGAGACGUCUACGUCUGGAAGGACCACUUCCUCAUCCGGCUGGUAGCCAAGGCUCACACAGGCCCCGUGUUCACAAUGUACACAACCCUUCGGGAUGGACUCAUAGUGACCGGCGGAAAAGAGCGGCCGACCAAAGAAGGAGGUGCU